rnacentral:tRNA from 1 species
AGCUCCGAGGUGUCAUCACAUCAGAUUGCAAAUCUGAAGUAGCAGGUUAGACGCCUGCCGGGGCUUCCCCC